AACGAACGCUGGCGGCAGGCCUAACACAUGCAAGUCGAACGCCCCGCAAGGGGAGUGGCGCACGGGUGAGUGACGCGUGGGAAUAUGCCCUUCGGUUCGGAAUAACACAGGGAAACUUGUGCUAAUACCGGAUACGAUCUACGGAUGAAAGAUUUAGCGCCGAGGGAGUGACCUGCGGAGGAUUAGCUAGUUGGUGGGUGAAUGGCUCACAAAGGCGACGAUCCUUAGCUGGUCUGAGAGGAUGAUGAGUCAAACUGGGACUGCCGCAAGGCCCAGACUCCAACGGGAGGCAGCAGUGGGGAAUAUUGGACAAUGGGCGAAAGCCUGAUCCAGCCAUGCCGCGUGAGUGAUGAAGGCCUUAGGGUUGUAAAGCUCUUUCGCCAGGGAAGAUAAUGACGGUACCUGGAAAAGAAGCCUCGGCUAACUCCGUGCCAGCCGCCGCAGUAA
rnacentral:rRNA from 1 species